GAAUGUAGGAGAUCAUGUCCACAAGAUGAUUCGACUUAUUUAGCAGCUAGAACAUCUUGAUUUUUACAUGGAUUUCCAAUUGCAAAUGGAUCUGAUCCUUCAGUCUCUGCCUGAGUCAUUUGGGAAUUUUGUGACAAAUUUCUAUAUGACUAAGCAGGAAUAUACCUUGGCUGGUUUACUUAACAUGCUUGUUAUUGCCCAAAAGAAUAUGUCGGGCAAUAAAGGAAAAGAGGUAG
rnacentral:misc_RNA from 1 species